rnacentral:rRNA from 1 species
AGUGAACGCUGGCGGUAGGCCUAACACAUGCAAGUCGAACGGCAGCACAGUAAGAGCUUGCUCUUACUGGUGGCGAGUGGCGGACGGGUGAGGAAUACAUCGGAAUCUACUUUUUCGUGGGGGAUAACGUAGGGAAACUUACGCUAAUACCUCAUACUACCUACGGGUUAAAGCAGGGGAUCUUCGGACCUUGCGCGAUUGUAUUAGCCGAUGUCGGAUUAGCUAGUUGGCGGGGUAAAGUCCCACCAAGGCGACGAUCCGUAGCUGGUCUGAGAGGAUGAUCAGCCACACUGGAACUGAGACACGGUCCAGACUCCUACGGGAGGCAGCAGUGGGGAAUAUUGGACAAUGGGCGCAAGCCUGAUCCAGCCAUACCGCGUGAGUGAAGAAGGCCUUCGGGUUGUAAAGCCCUUUUGUUGGGAAAGAAAAGCAGCAGGUUAAUACCCCGCUGUUCUGACGGUACCCAAAGAAUAAGCACCGGCUAACUUCGUG